rnacentral:rRNA from 4 species
CAGAAGUAGAUAGCUUAACCUUCGGGAGGGCGUUUACCACGGUGUGAUUCAUGACUGGGGUGAAGUCGUAACAAGGUAACCCUAGGGGAACCUGGGGUUGGAUCACCUCCUUA